UACAGGGAAAGAAGGUGGAGACAGGGUCUCCAGAGCAAAUACUGACCACCCGCCUUUUAGACUCUUUUCCAUCCUGCUCCAUCCAGUGGCAGGACGAACUAUUUAAAGUUAUCCAUGGGUUAGAAAUCAGAUUCGACCUACUCUGCCUAGACUCCAAAUUGCUGGUUCCAUGAUGAGAGCAGGCUUCAUUGUUCCAUCAGUAGUACACAUCAUCACCACAGGAGUCACAGAGGGGAGUGUGGGAAGGUCACAACAGAGAAACCUCUGCCUGUCCCUUUCAGUGACAUAGCUCUGGCUUGUUUCCUGCAUGCAGUGCUCCCACUUCCUUCUCAACAUAGACGAAAUUCCUACCUGGAGAAGACUCACCCACUCAAGACCACAGCACCAUUCACUACAGCUUUUAAAGUUUUACGUCAAAGAACACCAAAACUGAAGGUCAUGCCGGGUGAUACCCUACAUCUUUCAUGGGUCAGCAGCACACAACUGCACCUUGAAUGUCCUAAAGAAAUGCAAUUUAUUCAGAGAGAGCUGAAGAGAUGAGGGCCUGGGUCACACAGCUCAUCAGCAGAGGUUGGACUUUAAAUCUGCAUCCUGAGCCUGAAGCCUGCAUCCUUCCAUUAUACCACACUGGCUCACAGCAAUUUAUCUGCUUCCCUGGAUUCCUCAGGGCCUCUGUACUAAACGACAAUGUGCCAGGUUGCAGACAGCCCCCAUUUGUUACUUGUUCUUUUACUUUAUUUUUCUAGUAUGUAUUGUGUCACUCAGCUGGUGCACACACACACACACACACACACACACACACACGCACGCACGCACGCACGCACGCACGCACGCACAGACAGACAGACUGACAGACAGACACACAGAGCUUUGACAAGAACACAGAGCACAGAGUAUGCUGGGAAAUGUGGGUGAUACAGCUUUAUUUCAGUGUCUAUUCAAUUGGAUGUAAUGGCAGCUUCAUUGUAAUAAAAAGCUUUAUUAUGCUUUGUAAUGAAGACACAAAGCACUUAGUGGAAA